UACGUAGGGUCCGAGCGUUUGUCCGGAAUUACUGGGCGUAAAGAGCUCGUAGGUGGUUUGUCGCGUUGUUCGUGAAAACUCACAGCUCAACUGUGGGCGUGCGGGGCGAUACGGGGCAGACUUUGAGUACUGCAGGGGGAGACUGGAAUUCCUGGUGUAGCGGUGGAAUGCGCAGAUAUCAGGGAGGAACACCGGUGGCGAAGGCGGAUCUCUGGGCCAUUUACU
rnacentral:rRNA from 1 species